CAUGGCAAUAUUUCCUUAUACUUGUAAACGGAUUUUGCAAAUAGAGGUAUAAAAUGAAUAAAAAAUAGCUAGAAUAAAUAAAGGGAAAAAAUAUUGUGAGUCCGCUAUAAAACACGAGUUCAACUGGAUUUGAACUCAAAUGUUUAUCGAGACAGGCCAAACGACCUACCAUUAAGCCAUCAGUGGACGAUCUGAAAUUCUUGCAAAAUUAAAAACAAAAGUAGAUUGUUGUGACCUGCUCAUAAACCAAAGUCAGACUUUGAAAAUUUCGGGGAAAUCGAAAAAUAAUUUUCGAUCUAGAUCGACUUAGAAAGUUUCAAAACGCAUAUUGAUGCUGAAAGUUUUGGCACAUGGAAGUUUUAAAGCGCAUUUUGAUAUAAGAAUUGCUAAUCCGUCCUUCAUUAUUCUUUGUACUACGCUAACCCGCUACCCAGAUUCUUGACUCAACUAAGCAGAGCUUGUCUUAGAGAAUUUCAACCAAAGUUUAACUUAGAAAAUUUCGGGCAAAUCGAAAAAAAAAUUUCGUCAUAAAUCGACUAAGAAAGGUUCAAAACGCAUAUUGAUGGGAAAGUUUCGGCAUAGGGGAAUUUUAAAGCGCAUUUUGAUAUAAGAAAUGGUAACCCGUCCUGCAUAUACUUCGUACUACGCUAACCCGCUACCCGGAUUCUAGAGUCAAGUAGGCUGAGUUUCUCUUGAAAAAUUUCGACCAAAGUUUGACUGACAAACAUUUCUUGAUAUAAAUCGACUUGGGAUGGCGUAGAACUACUUAUUUGUGAAGAAAGUUUUAGCACAGGGGAAUUUUAAAGCGCAUUUUGAUAUAAGAAAUUCUAACCCGUCCUGCAUUAUACUUUGUACUACGCUAACCCGCUACCCGGAUUCUAGAGUCAAGUAGGCUGAGUUUCUCUUGAAAAAUUUCGACCAAAGUUUGACUGACAAACAUUUCUUGAUAUAAAUCGACUUGGAAUGGUGUAGAACUACUUAUUUGUGCAGAAAGUUUUAGCACAGGGGAAUUUUAAAGCGCAUUUUGAUAUAAGAAAUGCUAACCCGUCCUGCAUUAUACUUUGUACUACGCUAACCCGCUACCCGGAUUCUAGAGUCAAGUAGGCUGAGUUUCUCUUGAAAAAUUUCGACCAAAUUUUGACUUACAAUGCAUUUCUUGAUAUAAAUCGACUUGGGAUGGUGUAGAACUACUUAUUUGUGCCGAAAGUUUUAGCACAGGGGAAUUUUAAAGCGCAUUUUGAUAUAAGAAAUGCUAACCCGUCCUGCAUUAUACUUUGUACUACGCUAACCCGCUACCCGGAUUCUAGAGUCAAGUAGGCUGAGUUUCUCUUGAAAAAUUUCGACCAAAUUUUGACUUACAAUGCAUUUCUUGAUAUAAAUGGACUUGGGAUGGUGUAGAACUACUUAUUUGUGCAGAAAGUUUUAGCACAGGGGAAUUUUAAAGCGCAUUUUGAUAUACGAAAUUCUAACCCGUCCUGCAUUAUACUUUGUACUACGCUAACCCGCUACCCGGAUUCUAGAGUCAAGUAGGCUGAGUUUCUCUUGAAAAAUUUCGACCAAAUUUUGACUUACAAUGCAUUUCUUGAUAUAAAUCGACUUGGGAUGGUGUACAACUACUUAUUUGUGCAGAAAGUUUUAGCACAGGGGAAUUUUAAAGCGCAUUUUGAUAUAAGAAAUGCUAACCCGUCCUGCAUUAUACUUUGUACUACGCUAACCCGCUACCCGGAUUCUAAAAUCAAGUAGGCUGAGUUUCUCUUGAAAAAUUUCGACCAAAUUUUGACUUACAAUGCAUUUCUUGAUAUAAAUGGACUUGGGAUGGUGUAGAACUACUUAUUUGUGCAGAAAGUUUUAGCACAGGGGAAUUUUAAAGCGCAUUUUGAUAUAAGAAAUGCUAACCCGUCCUGCAUUAUACUUUGUACUACGCUAACCCGCUACCCGG